GGCAGUGGUGGCUUAUUGGUUAAGGCGCUGGGUUAGUGAUCGGAAGGUUGGUGGUUCAAGCCCCAGCACUGCCA